CCUACGGGAUGCAGCAGUGGGGAAUAUUGGACAAUGGGCGCAAGCCUGAUCCAGUCAUACCGCGUGGGUGAAGAAGGCCUUCGGGUUGUAAAGCCCUUUUGUUGGGAAAGAAAUCCUGUCGAUUAAUACUCGGUGGGGAUGACGGUACCCAAAGAAUAAGCACCGGCUAACUUCGUGCCAGCAGCCGCGGUAAUACGAAGGGUGCAAGCGUUACUCGGAAUUACUGGGCGUAAAGCGUGCGUAGGUGGUGGUUUAAGUCUGCUGUGAAAGCCCUGGACUCAACCUGGGAAUUGCAGUGGAUACUGGAUCACUAGAGUGUGGUAGAGGGAUGCGGAAUUUCUGGUGUAGCAGUGAAAUGCGUAGAGAUCAGAAGGAACAUCCGUGGCGAAGGCGGCAUCCUGGGCCAACAUUGACACUGAGGCACGAAAGCGUGGGGAGCAAACAGGAUUAGAUACCCCCGUAGUC
rnacentral:rRNA from 1 species